rnacentral:rRNA from 1 species
UACGAGAGGUCCAAACGUUAUUCGGAAUCACUGGGCUUACAGAGUUCGUAGGCGGUACGGAAAGUGGGGUGUGAAAGCCCUCGGCUCAACCGAGGAACUGCGCUCCAAACUACCGUGCUAGAGGAAGAUAGAGGUGAGCAGAACUGAUGGUGGAGCGGUGAAAUGCGUUGAUAUCAUCAGGAAUACCGGAGGCGAGGGCGGCUCACUGGGUCUUUUCUGACGCUGAGGAACGAAAGCUAGGGGAGCAAACGGG